rnacentral:rRNA from 1 species
UACGUAGGGUGCGAGCGUUGUCCGGAAUUAUUGGGCGUAAAGAGCUUGUAGGCGGUUUGUCGCGUCUGCCGUGAAAAUUCGAGGCUCAACCUCGAACUUGCGGUGGGUACGGGCAGACUAGAGUGUGGUAGGGGAGACUGGAAUUCCUGGUGUAGCGGUGGAAUGCGCAGAUAUCACUUGGAACGCCAAUGGUGAAAACAGACUGCUGGGGGUGUGCUGACGCUGGAGACACGAAAGCCAGGGGAGCAAACGGG